GCUGAUUUUGAAUAUUAAAAAAAAAAAAAUCACGAGAUACCAUGCAAAAGCAAUCUUCCCUUCAGAAUGACUGAUGGUAUGCUCAGGUUUUUCAUAGCAUAUCAUCAUUAAAGGUGAAUAAAAUA
ensembl:snoRNA